UCUGAUUCUUGGCCUUUUGGCUUGGAAUACAUGUAGUUUCUGUUCUUAUCAGUUUAAUAUCUGAUAUCUCCUGAAUGUGGGAGUGUUUGUAUUAAAUUGAUUUUUGGAGCAGGGAGAUGGGUCAGGGGUGUUUGGGAGCGGCACGGUGGCUCAAUAGUUAGCACUGUUGCCUCACAGCACCA